GUCGAGGAACACCGUAUCGUAAACUGCUCUUUAUCCUACAGAAUAGUACUAAUAGUUUCCAUAGUAGCUAAGCUGAUCAAAGACAACUGCACUGGACAUUUCUCGUUCACAAGCUUCACCAAAAUGGCUUCAGCUCCUGCUCAGGAUAAUAACAGUGCUGCUAAAAGAGUCGCUGUUGUUGGUGCUGGCGUUAGUGGCCUUGCUGCAGCCUACAAAUUGUCCCAGCGGGGUUUGAAUGUCACAAUUUUCGAAGCUGAAGAGAGAGCUGGAGGCAAGUUAAAGAGUGUAUCCCAUGAUGGUCUAAUAUGGGAUGAGGGUGCAAACACUAUGACGGAGUCUGAGGGUAAUGUUAGUUAUUUGCUUGAUAAUCUCGGGCUUCGCGACAAACAACAAUUUCCAAUAUCACAGCACAAGCGCUAUAUUGCAAAGAAUGGAACUCCAGUACUGCUACCUUCAAAUCCAAUUGCUCUGAUCAAAAGCAAUAUUCUCUCUACUCAAUCAAAGAUUCAGUUGCUGUUGGAGCCGUUUUUGUGGAAGAAAAACAGUAACUCGAAGAUGUCAGACAAACAUGAAAGCGUUGGAGGUUUCUUUCGGCGUCAUUUUGGACAGGAGGUUGUUGACCAUCUCAUUGACCCUUUUGUUGCCGGUCUUAAUGCCGGAGAUCCUGAAUCUCUCUCUAUGUAUCAUGCAUUUCCAGACUUGUGGAAUCUAGAGAAAAAAUUUGGCUCUAUCAUAGUUGGCGCAGUUCGUUCUAAAAUAUCUUUCAAAAAGGGAGAAGGUCAAGGGAUGAAUGCUUCUUCAAAGUCUAAGAGGCGUAAACGUGGUUCAUUUUCAUUUUUGGGCGGAAUGCAGACACUAACCGAUGCACUCUGCGAAGAGGUAGGCAAAGAUAAAGUCAAUCUGCAAACAAGGGUUUUGGAAUUAUCUUAUCCCUGCAGCCAGGAAUCGCAGUUGAGUAAUUGGUCAAUUUCAUAUGCUCUAGAUUUCGACAAGCACCUAAAAGAACAAUGUUUUGAUGCAGUCAUCAUGACAGCUCCACUUUGUGAUGUCAAGCAAAUGAAGAUUACAAAGAGAGGGAAACCCUUUGUACUUGAUUUCAUUCCUGAGGUGAGUUAUAUGCCACUAUCAGUUGUAAUCACCUCAUUCAAGAAAGAGAAUGUUAGACGACCCCUUGAGGGAUUUGGAGUUCUUGUUCCCUCCAAAGAGCAGCAAAAUGGAUUAAAGUCACUUGGUACUCUCUUUUCCUCUAUGAUGUUUCCUGACCGCACACCUAGUGAUCUGUAUCUAUAUACUACAUUUAUAGGGGGGAGUAGAAACCAAGAAUUAGCUAGAGCUUCAAGGGAUGAGUUGAAGAAGAUCGUGGCUGCUGAUCUUAGACAAUUAUUGGGUGCAGAAGGGGAGCCAACAUUUGUUAAGUAUGGAUAAUAAAUCAUUUGUAUUGGAGUAAAGCAUUUCCUCUUUAUGGGCAUGACUACAAUUCUGUCAUAGGAGCAAUUGAUAAGAUGGAAAAGGACCUUCCAGGAUUUUUUUACGCAGGAAACCAUAGGGGAGGACUCUCUGUCGGUAAAGCAAUAUCCUCAGGGUGCAAAGCAGCAGAUCUUGUAAUCUCAUAUCUGGAUUCUUCUUUAGAGAAUAAUUUGUCAAGGGAGAACUGCACUUAAGCAUCUGAAAGGUGGACAUGAUACUUAUUUUAUGGAGGAGGCAUCAAACUUUUGAAGCAGCAGGAUGUAGGGAUUUUUCUUGGAUAUAGGUCGACUCAUGUUUAAUACGCUCUUUUUUCCAAUCAAAAUUGGCUGUUGUACUAACAGUGUUGUUGAAUAUGUAUUACUCGUAUACUUGAUGCAGAUGAAAUAGUCAAUUUGGUCGUCUCA